rnacentral:rRNA from 1 species
AACGAACGCUGGCGGCAUGCCUAACACAUGCAAGUCGAACGAGACCUUCGGGUCUAGUGGCGCACGGGUGCGUAACGCGUGGGAACCUGCCCUUAGGUUCGGAAUAACUCCCCGAAAGGGGUGCUAAUACCGGAUAAUGUCUUCGGACCAAAGAUUUAUCGCCUUUGGAUGGGCCCGCGUUGGAUUAGCUAGUUGGUAGGGUAAAAGCCUACCAAGGCGACGAUCCAUAGCUGGUCUGAGAGGAGGAUCAGCCACACUGGGACUGAGACACGGCCCAGACUCCUACGGGAGGAAGAAGUGGGGAAUAUUGGACAAUGGGCGAAAGACUGAUCCAGCAAUGCCGCGUGAGAGAUGAAGGUCUUAGGGUUGUAAAGCUCUUUUACCCGGGAUGAUAAUGACAGUACCGGGAGAAUAAGCCCCGGCUAACUCCGUG